rnacentral:rRNA from 1 species
AUGUCGAAUGUGUCAAUACAUAUAUACUUGCGGCAACUACUAACUGAAAUUUAUUUUUCACCUACAAAAAUAUAUAGAAUCUUCGUCCAUGUUUUCAUGUCGAUACCUGAUUUACAUGUCCAUACAGUUGGGCUGUUCGAGCUAACACUGCAAGGCCUUACAGUGCAUCAGGGGCAUCUAAUAAAGUUUUUAAGUUUGUGCCUAGAACUAUUAUAUCCAGACAAGAGACUUGCUUGCAGGACCAUCAGAGCUGGACCUGCUAGUUAUAGAGAAGAGUUAGAGUUGGAUGGAGUAUCAAACAAUGGAAUCAAAUCAUGCAUGGAAUUUUUUGAGGUUAGGCUAAUUUGA